UACGUAGGGUGCAAGCGUUUGUCCGGAAUUAUUGGGCGUAAAGAGCUCGUAGGCGGUUUGUCGCGUCGAAUGUGAAAACCCGGGGCUCAACCCCGGGCCUGCAUUCGAUACGGGCAGACUAGAGUUCGGUAGGGGAGUCUGGAAUUCCUGGUGUAGCGGUGAAAUGCGCAGGAUAUCAGGAGGAACACCGGUGGCGAAGGCGGUUCUCUGGGCCUUACCUGACGCUGAGGAGCGAAAGCGUGGGGAGCGAACAGG
rnacentral:rRNA from 1 species